rnacentral:rRNA from 1 species
AAUAUUGGACAAUGGGGGAAACCCUGAUCCAGCCAUGCCGCGUGUGUGAAGAAGGUCUUCGGAUUGUAAAGCACUUUCAGUUGGGAGGAAGGGGCGUUGGCUAAUAGCCAGCAAUUUUUACGUUACCGACCGAAUAAGCACUGACUAACUCUGUUACAGCAGCCGCGGUAAUACAGAGGUUGCAAUCGUUAAUCGGAAUUACUGGGCGUAAAGCGCGCGUAGGUGGUUCAGUAAGAUGGGUGUGAAAUCCCCGGGCUUAACCUGGGAACUGCUUUCAUAACUGCUGAGCUAGAGUACGGUAGAGGGUAGUGGAAUUUCCUGUGUAGCGGUGAAAUGCGUAGAUAUAGGAAGGAACACCAGUGGCGAAGGCGACUACCUGGACUGAUACUGACACUGAGGUGCGAAAGCGUGGGGAGCAAAC